CGGGACGGGUGAGUAACGCGUGGAUAACCUGCCUCACACUGGGGGAUAACAGUUAGAAAUGGCUGCUAAUACCGCAUAAGCGCACAGUACCGCAUGGUACGGUGUGAAAAACCCAGGUGGUGUGAGAUGGAUCCGCGUCUGAUUAGGCCAGUUGGCGGGGUAACGGCCCACCAAAGCGACGAUCAGUAGCCGACCUGAGAGGGUGACCGGCCACAUUGGGACUGAGACACGGCCCAA
rnacentral:rRNA from 1 species